GAUGAAGAACGCAGCGAAAUGCGAUAAGUAAUGUGAAUUGCAGAAUUCAGUGAAUCAUCGAAUCUUUGAACGCACAUUGCGCCCGCCAGUAUUCUGGCGGGCAUGCCUGUUCGAGCCUCAUUACAACCCUCAGGCCCCCGGGCCUGGCGUUGGGGAUCGGCGGAAGCCCCCUGUGGGCACACGCCGUCCCUCAAAUACAGUGGCGGUCCCGCCGCAGCUUCCAUUGCGUAGUAGCUAACACCUCGCAACUGGAGAGCGGCGCGGCCAUGCCGUAAAACACCCAACUUCUGAAUGUUGACCUCGAAUCAGGUAGGAAUACCCGCUGAACUUAAGCAUAUCAAUAAGCGGAGGA
rnacentral:misc_RNA from 1 species